rnacentral:lncRNA from 1 species
CGGAGGCCGACUUGAAGCAAGUCUUUCUGACCCAUCUACAGAAAAAGAGAGAUUAAUUCUCUCCCUGGUCCCCCUCUUCCUUCCCUUUCCUCUCUCCUUUCUCUGCCCCUCCAUAUACCCUUGUAUAACCACAGGUCUGAGGAUGGAACUCGGGUCUUUAGGCUUUGUGACAAGUAACUUUACCUGCAAAGUCAUCUAGACAACAAACAGAUGGCUCUGCUCGAGUCCAGUUCUUCAGAGAGCGUCUCCUGACAAAUCCCACUCUUGGAAGGUGCUUUGUACUUGUGGAUUUUUGUAAAGAAAAAAAAAAAAGAAAGAAGGAAAGACUGGACACACUUGAAGCUGAGAUUUCAUAAAACAACAGUAUUCUAAGAGACUACACUCUUCAUUCUUCCCUAGAAAUCUAGACGAUGCUUCUGCUAGCAAACGUCAUAUAUAAAGUCAAAACGUCAAAUAAAGUGUUGGGACCUAGGACCUUUGGGUUUUCCAGCCUGAUUUCCCUCUCUGGCAGCUGCCUGGUUUCUUUGGUUCGGCUGAAGCUGAAUGGAGAGUGCCACUCGCUUGGCCCGCACACACUGCAACUUUUAAUUGGGUAGUAAACAGAGGAAAACACACUUCCUGUUUCCAGUAAAAAGCAGGCAUAUGAGAAGGAAGGCCUGAAGCCCAGACUGUGCCUAUGAUCUCACAGGCUUCUUAUGAUCAACCUCCAACAGCAUCCCUCAGGAGAAUGGUCUCAGGCACAGCCCUUUGGGAAGCAGGCCGGGCGAAGUCAGCACGUAGAGAAAUACAAACACCAAAAUCAAUCUGCUUAAACCGUGAUAACCACAAUCAGUUCUUCACACAACUGAUGAGACUUGAAUGUGUGCCUUUUAUCAACUUGAUUCUAUAUCACACAUCUCAGUCGAUGUGUAUUGAAGCCUUGCUUACAUAGCAGGGCUGGAUUCAGUACUAAGGGUGUGGAGAAGAGAAAACCUGGUUCCUGAGCCCAGCUACCUCAUCUGGGCUAACAAACUAAAGCUGAAUUUCAAAAGUAAUUACUAAGGAGGUCUUUGUUUCUUUCGGUUUUCUUUCCUUUUUUUCUUGAGGAAUGAAAUUAAAAGCAUGAUUUAUA